GACGAACGCUGGCGGCGUGCCUAAUACAUGCAAGUCGAGCGAACCAAUAAGAAGCUUGCUUUUUGUUGGUUAGCGGCGGACGGGUGAGUAACACGUGGGUAACCUGCCUGUAAGACCGGGAUAACUCCGGGAAACCGGUGCUAAUACCGGAUAGAUUAUCUUUCCGCAUGGAGAGAUAAGGAAAGAUGGCUAUUGCCAUCACUUACAGAUGGGCCCGCGGCGCAUUAGCUAGUUGGUGAGGUAACGGCUCACCAAGGCGACGAUGCGUAGCCGACCUGGGAGGGUGAUCGGCCACACUGGGACUGGGACACGGCCCAGACUCCUACGGGAGGCAGCAGUAGGGAAUCUUCCGCAAUGGACGAAAGUCUGACGGAGCAACGCCGCGUGAGCGAAGAAGGUCUUCGGAUCGUAAAGCUCUGUUGUUAGGGAAGAACAAGUAUCGGAGGAAAUGCCGGUACCUUGACGGUACCUGACGAGAAAGCCACGGCUAACUACGUG
rnacentral:rRNA from 1 species